CCUACGGGAGGCUGCAGUGAGGAAUAUUGGUCAAUGGGCGCUAGCCUGAACCAGCCAAGUAGCGUGAAGGAUGACUGCCCUAUGGGUUGUAAACUUCUUUUAUAUGGGAAUAAAGUGCAGUAUGUAUACUGCUUUGCAUGUACCUUAUGAAUAAGGAUCGGCUAACUCCGUGCCAGCAGCCGCGGUAAUACGGAGGAUCCGAGCGUUAUCCGGAUUUAUUGGGUUUAAAGGGAGCGUAGGCGGGUUGUUAAGUCAGUUGUGAAAGUUUGCGGCUCAACCGUAAAAUUGCAGUUGAUACUGGAAGCCUGGAGUACAGUAGAGGUAGGCGGAAGUCGUGGUGGAGCGGGGAAAGGCUUAGAUAUAACGAAGAAAUCCGAUUGCGAAGGAAGCAUGCUGGACUGUAACGGACGCGGAUGCUCGAAAGUGUGGGUAUAAAACAGGAUUAGAUACCCCAGUAGUC
rnacentral:rRNA from 1 species